CGCAGCCGCGGUAAUUCCAGCUCCAAUAGCGUAUAUUAAAGUUGUUGCAGUUAAAAGCUCGUAGUUGAAUUUCGGGGUUAGUAGGUUGGUCAUGCCUCUGGUAUGUACUGGUCUCACUGAUUCCUCCUUCCUGAUGAACCUUAAUGCCAUUUAAUUUGGUGUUUUGGGGAAUUUGGACUGUUACUUUGAAAAAUUGAGUGUUUAAAGCAAGCUAACGCUUGAAUAUAUUAGCAUGGAAUAAUGAAAUAGGACGUUCGAUCCUAUUUUGUUGGUUUCUAGGAUUGACGUAAUGAUUAAUAGGGAUAGUUGGGGGCAUUAGUAUUCAAUUGUCAGAGGUGAAAUUCUUGGAUUUAUUGAAGACUAACUACUGCGAAAGCAUUUGCCAAGGAUGUUUUCAUUAAUCAAGAACGAAAGUUAGGGAUGAAGACGAUCAGAUACCGUCGUAGUCUUAACCAUAAACUAUGCGACUAGGGAUCGGAUGAUGUUAAUUUUUAAUGUACUCUAUUCGGCGUCCGUUACG
rnacentral:misc_RNA from 1 species